GACGAACGCUGGCGGCGUGCUUAACACAUGCAAGUCGAACGAAGUGGCGAACGGGUGAGUAACGCGUAAGCAACCUGCCCUUCAGUGGGGGACAACAGUUGAAAACGACGGCAAAUACGCCAUACUGAAGCUGGGGAUUGCGUGUGAUUAGCUCGUUGGUGGGGUAACGGCCCACCAAGGCGAGGGACAGUAGCCGGUCCUGGAGGAUGGACGGCCACCAUGGGAACGAGAACCGGGUCCAACUCCUUACGGAGGCCGGAGUGGGGAAACUUCCGCAAUGGGCGAAAAUCUGACGGCGCAACGCCGCGUGGGUGAUGACGGCCUUUGGGUUGUAAAGCUCUGUUCAUCGGGACGCGGUACCGGAAUAGAAAGCCACGGCUAACUACGUGCCAGCCGCCGCGGUAAUAC
rnacentral:rRNA from 1 species